ensembl:snRNA
AAUAAGAGCUUCUGCUGUGAGUGGUGUUUACGUGGCAGUGGGACUGCUUGCUGUGCAGAAUCCACUUGAAGAGAUUUUGGAAGCAUAAGUUUCUGUGUGUGGGGAGCAGGUCCCUGUGCCCUC